GUCUAUGUGUGUGUGUCUAUGUGCAGGUGACUCCGCUCGGCUCGUCUGCCUGCAUCACGGCGCUGUCCCUCGUUGAGGACCUCCAGGGCAGCACCGUGGAGAAAGUGAACAGCCGGACACACCACAAAGUGUCAGGCCUACACCAGUAUCUCCACCUCCUUCAAGGCCAAGCGAUGUACCCGUUUCUGGUGGAUCGAGAUGGAGUGACCAUCCUCUCUCCCUCCCAUCACCAACUCUCAAACUACUAAGGUGAGUGUGGACACUACAGAGGUGCUGGUGGAGGUGACCAGUAGUCACAGUCUUGCAUCCUGCAAGCUGGUCAUGGACACCCUCAUCACGAGAGUGGCUGAGCUUCACCACUCACUGCAACAGCUUCCUGGAACAAUAAACCCUGAUGAGACUCAACGAACUGGAACCAAGAAGGCAUUGGAGGUGAUGCAGGUGGUGGUGCUGAAUGAGGCUGAUGGAUGUCUACGUGUGAUGUAUCCCAGCCGAACCGACCUCACCGCCACCAACAUCAACGUCGUGUGGUGAUGGGGUCCAACAUCAACAACAUCAACAACAUCAACAACAACAUCAACAAUAACAUCACCACCAUCAACAUCA